rnacentral:piRNA from 1 species
UCAAGGUCGAUUUGUACAACAACAAACA